UCAACUGAGUCAGUCACAAAAAUAAAACAUAUAACUUAUGAAUAUUCAUAUUUCUUAGUAGAAAGAGUUUAAGAAUUUGUAUGGAUUGAUCACUUGCGAUUCAUCCAGCAGAAUCAUUAAUUCAAUUUUAUAAGUGCAAAUGGCUCUAAUUCUCAAACUCUUUUUCUUAUUUAUUUCAGUUAGUGUAGUUUUAUGCUCACUUCAAAUAGAUAUUUGGCGUCUAAAAUUUACUCCAGAUGAAACAGCAACCAAAAAAACUGAGAAGCGAAAUAAUUUAUUCGAGAAAAAUAUCAUCGAAGUCCCAUGCCAAAAAAAUCAUAGGAAGAAACAAAAUAAUUGCGUAGCAAUAGAUCAAUGUCCCGAAGGUUAUUUAAAGAUUGGAAGAUUAUGCAGAAUGAUAUACUCAUAAAAUGCUCAUAAUAUCACCUAACAAAAAUGUGAAACAAUGGAUUUAUUAAAUGUAUAUUUAUUCCUCA